rnacentral:lncRNA from 1 species
AAAGCGCGGGAUAUCUUUAAUCUUGCAAAGAAAGCCAUUGAUGAUAGCAUGUGGUCUGCGUAUAAGAUGAGCAAUGGAAUAAUAAGAAUAGGAAUCCUUCCGGAAAAUUCCAAGGUGGCGCCAAGUAAUUUUUUUAAUAAAAUUUUAUAAGUAUUGUAUUGGGCUGGACUCUUAAAUCAAAAUUUGGGCCAGCUUAUCCCAUCCCAUAGAGCAUUUAAUUUAAUUUUUCUAUAUUGAUAAAUUUCGAAAAUUUUAGAAUU